rnacentral:rRNA from 1 species
ACGCACCUGCGAAGGCAAGCGGAUCUCUUAAAGCCGUUCUCAGUUCGGACUGUAGGCUGCAACUCGCCUACACGAAGCUGGAAUCGCUAGUAAUCGCGGAUCAGCACGCCGCGGUGAAUACGUUCCCGGGCCUUGUACACACCGCCCGUCACACCAUGAGAGUCUGUAACACCCAAAGCCGGUGGGAUAACCUUUAUAGGAGUCAGCCGUCUAAGGUAGGACAGAUGAUUAGGGUGAAGUCGUAACAAGGUAUC